rnacentral:rRNA from 1 species
GACGAACGCUGGCGGCGUGCUUAACACAUGCAAGUCGAACGGAAAGGCCCUGCUUUUGUGGGUUGCUCGAGUGGCGAACGGGUGAGUAACACGUGAGUAACCUGCCCUUGACUUUGGGAUAACUUCAGGAAACUGGGGCUAAUACCGGAUAGGAGCUCCUGCUGCAUGGUGGGGGUUGGAAAGUUUCGGCGGUUGGGGAUGGACUAGCGGGUUAUCAGCUUGUUGGUGGGGUAGGGGCUUACCAAGGCUUUGACGGGUAGCCGGCCUGAGAGGGUGACCGGCCACAUUGGGACUGAGAUACGGCCCAGACUCCUACGGGAGGCAGCAGUGGGGAAUAUUGCGGAAUGGGCGGAAGCCUGAUGCAGCAACGCCGCGUGCGGGAUGACGGCCUUCGGGUUGUAAACCGCUUUCGCCUGUGACGAAGCGUGAGUGACGGUAAUGGGUAAAGAAGCACCGGCUAACUACGUG